rnacentral:snRNA from 1 species
AUUUCCAUCUUUGCAGCCAAACA